UGGGGAAUAUUGCACAAUGGAGGGAACUCUGAUGCAGCGACGCCGCGUGAACGAAGAAGGCUUUCGAGUCGUAAAGUUCUUUUAUAUGGGAAGAUAAUGACGGUACCAUAAGAAAAAGCCCCGGCUAACUACGUGCCAGCAGCCGCGGUAAUAUGUAGGGGGCUAGCGUUGUCCGGAAUCACUGGGCGUAAAGGGUUCGCAGGCGGAAAUGCAAGUCAGGUGUAAAAGGCAGUAGCUUAACUACUGUAAGCAUUUGAAACUGCAUAUCUUGAGAAGAGUAGAGGUAAGUGGAAUUUUUAGUGUAGCGGUGAAAUGCGUAGAUAUUAAAAAGAAUACCGGUGGCGAAGGCGACUUACUGGGCUCAUUCUGACGCUGAGGAACGAAAGCGUGGGUAGCAAACAGG
rnacentral:rRNA from 1 species